rnacentral:rRNA from 1 species
UGGGGAAUAUUGCACAAUGGGCGAAAGCCUGAUGCAGCAACGCCGCGUGAGUGAUGAAGGCCUUCGGGUUGUAAAGCUCUGUCUUUUGGGACGAUAAUGACGGUACCAAAGGAGGAAGCCACGGCUAACUACGUGCCAGCAGCCGCGGUAAUACGUAGGUGGCAAGCGUUGUCCGGAUUUACUGGGCGUAAAGGAUGCGUAGGCGGAUUUUUAAGUGAGAUGUGAAAACCCUAAGCUUAACUUGGGGACUGCAUUUCAUACUGGAAAUCUAGAGUGCGGGAGAGGAGAAUGGAAUUCCUAGUNUAGCGGUGAAAUGCGUAGAGAUUAGGAAGAACACCAGUGGCGAAGGCGAUUCUCUGGACCGUAACUGACGCUGAGGCAUGAAAAGCGUGGGUAGCAAACAGGAUUAGAUACCCUGGUAGUCCACGCCGUAAACGAUGAGUACUAGGUGUAGGAGGUAUCGACCCCUUCUGUGCCGCAGUUAACACAAUAAGUACUCCGCCUGGGAAGUACGAUCGCAAGAUUAAAAACUC